GACGAACGCUGGCGGCGUGCUUAACACAUGCAAGUCGAACGGAAAGGCCCUGCUUUUGUGGGGUGCUCGAGUGGCGAACGGGUGAGUAACACGUGAGUAACCUGCCCUUGACUUUGGGAUAACUUCAGGAAACUGGGGCUAAUACCGGAUAGGAGCUCCUGCUGCAUGGUGGGGGUUGGAAAGUUUCGGCGGUUGGGGAUGGACUCGCGGCUUAUCAGCUUGUUGGUGGGGUAGUGGCUUACCAAGGCUUUGACGGGUAGCCGGCCUGAGAGGGUGACCGGCAACAUGGGGACUGAGAUCGGGCCCAGAGCCCUCGGGGGGAGAGAAGGGGGGAAUAUUGAACAAGGGGGGGAGGCCUGAUGCAGCAGCCCCGGGGGGGGGAGGGGGGCCGCGGGUUUGAAACCCGCUUUCGCCGGGGAGGAAGGGGGGGGGAGGGAAGUGGAUAAAGAAGACCGGGCAAAAUCGGGC
rnacentral:rRNA from 1 species